AGUGAACGCUGGCGGUAGGCCUAACACAUGCAGGUCGGACGGCAGCACAGUAAGAGCUUGCUCUUACGGGUGGCGAGUGGCGGACGGGUGAGGAAUACAUCGGAAUCUACUUUUUCGUGGGGGAUAACGUAGGGAAACUUACGCUAAUACCGCAUACGACCUACGGGUGAAAGCAGGGGAUCUUCGGACCUUGCGCGAUUGAAUGAGCCGAUGUCGGAUUAGCUAGUUGGCGGGGUAAAGGCCCACCAAGGCGACGAUCCGUAGCUGGUCUGAGAGGAUGAUCAGCCACACUGGAACUGAGACACGGUCCAGACUCCUACGGGAGGCAGCAGUGGGGAAUAUUGGACAAUGGGCGCAAGCCUGAUCCAGCCAUACCGCGUGGGUGAAGAAGGCCUUCGGGUUGUAAAGCCCUUUUGUUGGGAAAGAAAAGCAGCAGGUUAAUACCCCGCUGUUCUGACGGUACCCAAAGAAUAAGCACCGGCUAACUUCGUG
rnacentral:rRNA from 1 species